rnacentral:rRNA from 1 species
AUUGAACGCUGGCGGCAGGCCUAACACAUGCAAGUCGAGCGGAUGAAGGGAGCUUGCUCCUGGAUUCAGCGGCGGACGGGUGAGUAAUGCCUAGGAAUCUGCCUGGUAGUGGGGGAUAACGUCCGGAAACGGGCGCUAAUACCGCAUACGUCCUGAUGUAGAAAGUGGGGGAUCUUCGGACCUCACGCUAUCAGAUGAGCCUAGGUCGGAUUAGCUAGUUGGUGGGGUAAAGGCCUACCAAGGCGACGAUCCGUAACUGGUCUGAGAGGAUGAUCAGUCACACUGGAACUGAGACACGGUCCAGACUCCUACGGGAGGCAGCAGUAGGGAAUAUUGGACAAUGGGCGAAAGCCUGAUCCAGCAAUGCCGCGUGUGUGAAGAAGGUCUUCGGAUUGUAAAGCACUUUAAGUUGGGAGGAAGGGCAGUAAGUUAAUACCUUGCUGUUUUGACGUUACCAACAGAAUAAGCACCGGCUAACUUCGUG